rnacentral:rRNA from 1 species
AUACGUAGGGGACGAGCGUUGUCCGGAAUUAUUGGGCGUAAAGAGGGAGCAGGCGGCAGCAAGGGUCUGUGGUGAAAGCCUGAAGCUUAACUUCAGUAAGCCAUAGAAACCAGGCAGCUAGAGUGCAGGAGAGGAUCGUGGAAUUCCAUGUGUAGCGGUGAAAUGCGUAGAUAUAUGGAGGAACACCAGUGGCGAAGGCGACGAUCUGGCCUGCAACUGACGCUCAGUCCCGAAAGCGUGGGGAGCAAAUAGGAUUAGAUACCCUAGUAGUCCACGCCGUAAACGAUGAGUACUAAGUGUUGGAUGUCAAAGUUCAGUGCUGCAGUUAACGCAAUAAGUACUCCGCCUGAGUAGUACGUUCGCAAGAAUGAAACUCAAAGGAAUUGACGGGG